AUUGAACGCUGGCGGCAGGCCUAACACAUGCAAGUCGAGCGAGCGGCGGACGGGUGAGAAAUGUAUGGGGACUGCACGAUAGAGGGGGAUAACUACUGGAAACGGUGGCGAAUACAGCAUACUGUCUGAUAACCCAUAGUGGAUUAGCUAGUAGGUAAGGUAAUGGCUUACAUAGGCGACGAUCCCUAGCUGGUCUGAGAGGAUGAUCAGCCACACUGGGACUGAGACACGGCCCAGACUCGUACGGAGGCAGCAGUGGGGAAUAUUGCACAAUGGGCGCAAGCCUGAUGCAGCCAUGCCGCGUGUAUGAAGAAGGCCCUAGGGUUGUAAAGUACUUUCAGUCGGGAGGCGUUACCGACAGAAGAAGCACCGGCUAACUCCGUGCCAGCAGCCGCGGUAAUAC
rnacentral:rRNA from 1 species